GGCCUCAGAAAAAUAAAUAAGUCAUUGGGCCUAAUAAGGGCAGCGGGCCCACUCGAAUUGGUCACAUGGCCUUGAGAGGGGUCCCUUUCCCCAAUUCAGAUUUUCAUUUCCUCAUUUCCCUUCUCUCUCUAGAACUCAGAUUUCUUAUUUUCUCUGACUUUUCUCUAACCUUGCUCCACCUUCUCUGUACCAAUUUCUCAAAUUUCCACCGUUGUUAUUUCAAAUAGGUGGUCCCCCUACGUUCCCGGAGUCGAGAGCUUCCAAUCCAUCUGAUUAGUUUCGCGUCUCUCCACUGAUAAGGUACUAUCGGAAUUACCUCUGUGCGGAGGUACUGUUAGGACGCUUUUAGGAACUGUGCUGUGAGAACCAAAAGAUGGCGAGGAUGUUACUCUGGAGACAGUCUUGGAGGAGAACAGCGAUGCAGCUGCUUAGUUCUGCUAGGAGAUUUCAUGACCCCCUUAUGUUAUCUACAAACAAUUCCUUCUUAUGUUAUUCUGAAAUACUUUAGUGCUUCAAGUUUUAAAUUCCUACUCAAUUUGGAUAACUGUAAUCCCUAUACUCAAGACUCUUAACUGCCUGUCUGCACUCCAACUGCUUUCUUUAUUAUAAUGGAUGACGUCUUAUUAUUAUAUGCA